rnacentral:lncRNA from 10 species
CCUGAAGGAGGCGGAGGCUCUGGGAGCUGGUAGCUGGGCGACUGGCUGAUGGGCGAGGGAGGGCGAGGGAGGGCGCCGCAACGGAACGAGGAACCCGGACAGUGAAGGAGGAAGAAACAAAGGAGCCAGCAGCACUAGAGAGUUCCCUUCUGUCUAGCUGGGUAAGAGAUGAGGGUGCCCUGCCCAUGGAGAGAAGCUGCGUAUGCAUAGUGGUCAAGAUCAUGGUCUCUUCUAUCAGACUGACACGCAGAUUCCACUCCCUGUGACCUUAGGCAAGUUACCUAACCUCUUUGUGCCUGUUUCAUCACCUAUAAAAUAGGAGUAACUGUGUUACUCCCCAAAUUUCUACAAUGAAGGCCUAACUUCUAUGCAAUGGUAUUUGGAGAUAGGGCCUUUGGGAGACACUUACGUUUUGAUGAGGUCCUAAUGAUUGGAUUAGUGCCCUUGUAAGAAGAGACACCAGAAAGCUAGCAUGUACCAUGCCCCAGCCCUCACCACCCCUGCCAUGUGAGGGCACUUGGAGAAGACAGCUACCUGCAACCUAGGAAAAGAGCCGCCAUCAGAAACUGACCAUGCUGGUAUCUUGACCUUGGACUAUCAGCCGCCAGAACUGUGAAAAAAUAAAUUGCUGUUGUUUAAGCCACCUAGUCUAUGGUAUUUUGCUAUGGCAGCCAAGCCAGUCUCUCUCUUUGAGGGGUUGUCAGCAUUAAAUGAAACGACUCAUGUCAUUUAAGGCACUUAGACUCUGGUCUGACGCAGGAUGAGCUAAGUGUUCAGCAACUGUUAGCCAUUGUUUAGAAGGGUAGGGCUACCUGCUAAGUAAAACGAAUGUUGGUGUUUGGUGAGGGCACCCUUCUGCUAGGGACAUCUCUGAAGACACAUCAAACAACAUAUUUCUGAAGACAUUCAACAUAUUUCUGUGGGAGAAUGCCAGCUUUGUCUCCCAAAUGCAAUGGAGUUUUCAAGUUAGGAAUUCUAAUCAAAAGAGACCCAUCAGAGUAUGUACAAUAAAUGUAGAAUUCUAAGAACAUUACCUGAAAUCACCCAGUUUGUGGGUGUCAGUGUGAAAAUGUAGAUACCUAAGGCCAUGUCUGCUUCAGUGUCAUCUCCUCCUAGAGACCUUCCCUGACCACUCUAUACAGAGUAGCAGUUCCUACCC